AUUGAACGCUGGCGGCAGGCCUAACACAUGCAAGUCGAACGAGUGGCGGACGGGUGAGUAAUGUCUGGGAAACUGCCUGAUGGAGGGGGAUAACUACUGGAAACGGUAGCUAAUACCGCAUACCAUCGGAUGUGCCCCGAUGGGAUUAGCUAGUAGGUGGGGUAAAGGCUCACCUAGGCGACGAUCCCUAGCUGGUCUGAGAGGAUGACCAGCCACACUGGAACUGAGACGCGGUCCAGACGCAUACGGGAGUCAGCAGUGGGGAAUGUUGGACAAUGUGCGCAAGCCUGGUACAGCCAUGCCGCGUGUAUGAAGAAGGCCUUCGGGUUGUAAGGGACUUUCAGCGGGGAGGCGUUACCCACAGAAGAAGCACCGGCUAACUCCGUGCCAGCAGCCGCGGUAAUAC
rnacentral:rRNA from 1 species